ACAUAACAUUACACUAUGUUCAGAAGCAACAGCAUAGGUGGUCCAAAGGACACGUUGGCCUUGUAUUUUAGCCACAGCUGAAGUAUUCACGUGUCUAAUAAUUUUCAAGCAGAAAAUACUGAUAGUUUGGCUGAUUCGCUGCUGUAAUGUCGAACGUUGUGUUGGACGAUCGGACCAAACAAGGCGGCGACAAAAACCUUCGAGCACAGACCGCUGCAAAGCCGGAAAAUAACGUUGCUAGCUACCGAGUACAUGAUGAAAUACCAAGAAGGCAGUUGGGAGGAGGCAAAAUCAGGUGGGACCAUUCUAGCCAAUGAGGGCAGAUACCAAUGACUCCCGAGUGGCGAGUGGCGCAGCGGUCUAAGGCACUGCAUCUCAGCGCUAGAGGCACCACUACAGACACCCUCGUUCAAAUCCGGGCAUGAUUGGGAGUCCCAUAGGUCGGCACACAUAGGUCGGCACACAAUUGGCCAAGUGUCUGGUGUAGGCCGUCAUUGUAAAUAAGAACUUGUUCUUAACUGUCUUGCAUACUUAAAUAAGAUUAAAUGUAAAAAUUCUAAAUAUAUAUAUAAACCCUGGAUUGCAGAUGCUAUCCAUUGGCCUUCGAAGCCACAGAUUUGCCAUAUUGCCAAUAUAUCCUCAGAAAAGCAGUCCUCAAUAGUAAUUAAUGGAAUCCUACGGUAUUUCAAUUAAAUGGUUCAAUGACAAAAUUACUUGUAUUUAAGCAUGUUGUUGUUGUAGUGAGGACAGUAACAUUAGUACUCAAUAAAAAUAUAUACUUUAAGGAAG